GCUUGCCUGGGCUAGGAAUUGGUAGUUAUGUGCUGGUGUUUUAUCAUAUUUAGUUUAAGAUGUUGUGCGGACAGCAUCUAGUUGAAUUUGACUACACAUUUCUGAUGUUAAUUAUGGCCAAAAUUGAUGAAACUCUAGCACUUUUUUUAAACAGGUUAUUGGAGGUACUUAUUGCCAAUGGAUACACUAGAAACUUAGCAUUUUUAAUGUAUUGGCUGAUAUUGGUUUUUGCCUG
rnacentral:misc_RNA from 1 species